CUGCCUGCCUGCCUGAGGAUCUUACAGGCCAUCUGAAGCUUCCAGGUACCUGAGAGGUGGCUGAAGCUGCAUUUUGCCAUGCUAAUGGAUGGAAGUCUCAAAGCCAGGCUGGAGCUGGGAAGCUCCUGUCAUCAGAGGGGUGAAAUGGAGUGGAAAGCAAUUAAGAACUGGGUUUGCUGCUCCUGCAGCCAUUGGGAAAUAUGCUGCUCUUGAUGCUCCCUAAAGCUUGCUAGAAGCAUGCUUCAUCAUUAACCUCCAAGAUACUGUUUGAAAGCUACUAUCUGAAGCAGAUGCCUGUCCACUUUGAAGCAUAGACAUCAACUGCUUGCCUAACAUCCACACCAAGCACACUCCUGCAGGCAGGAAGACUUGAUCACUAACACAGCUGGCUGUUAUUCACCCUGUACUACCAGAUUAAGCCAGAAAGGCCAAAGCAUGGAUCUUGGGUAGAAAUCCAGCUGAGCAACCUGUUCUCAGGGGAGUGAGACUAUGACAGCAGGGGACUGAAUCAGCCUGUAUUCAAAGUCAAGUUUUAUGUUGUAUUCUGCAGCUUUCAGAAGUGUUUUUUACAAUGACUUGAUUUCAAG